AUACAGACGAUUUUUAUACUCUUCUUCAGCAGGGAACCCAGUGUCUAUAACAGAAGUAACUGUUGGUACCUCUAACAUUCUUCUACCCGUACAGCCUCGUGUUCCUUUUGCAUGUCAUCCAGUUCCUGGUGAAGUUUCUUCACGGUCUCCUCGAUCUGUUUGUGCCACUCUUCUCCCCGUGCUGUAACUUCAUCUUUCCUCUGUUUGUAAAUCGAGGAUAUCGAGGACAGCAGCUUCGUCGUGUGAUCCAGAAUUUUUUCUACUUCAUUUUUGGAUGACUGAAGCCUAUCAUUUUCUUUCGCGAUAACUUUUAAAAGUUCUUCAAUUUUAUCGGACAGCUCAGACAUUUCGUGCGAUUUGUGUUUGAUAGAAACACAAAGAAUGCAUAUCGGAGCAUCACAAGUUUUACAGUACGCGGAACAAUCGUUUUGGGGAUGGGAAUCACAGUGGCAUGUGUCGUCAUCAUCCUUGCUGGCGAAAUCUACAAUUUCAUGAACGUUUGUAGAUUUCACACGUACAUGUAUUGCGAUACAAGUGUCACAGAGAUUGACCCCGCAUCGUCUGCAGAAAAACGAGACUGGUUGCUGACACAGAUCACAUCCUACGAAAUGCUGGGCUUCAUUUUUAGAUUCCAUCAUCUGCGCAAUCUGUGAAAAUAGUAAUCAGAAAUAAUGAAUUAAAUAUCAGAUACAUUG
rnacentral:sRNA from 1 species